AAAAAAUUUCCUGUCAUUUUAGGAAUCUUAAAAUAACAGAACCAUUUCCAUAGCCUUGCCUGCACUGAAUAUUAAGUCUUUGCAUCCCUCUUCCAGAGGAUCCCCAGCCCCUCCACAGGAUGGAGUGUAUGGGCCUCACACGGAAAUGCCCACACCAAGCACUGCAUGGAGACAGGAUUUAAGACAGUUCUGGGCUGCUGGUCACCUAGGUGGAUGAGCUGGAAUACAUAUGAAGUGAAAAAGAAAGACCAAAUUACUUUUAGAAAGUACAAAAACAAGAUGGAACCUAAGGAGGAUAGGAAAAGCUUUCAGGAAGCAGAUCAACAGACCUGCCUGGCCCAAGCCUUAUUUCUAGAAGAGGCACCAUUUCUGGAGAAGACAGCUUCUGUUGGACUUUGGACUGCAUUGACAAUUAUUCCAAGAUUCUCCAAAAACCAGUGUUAACUCAUGAGAAGAACCCACAUCCCUAUCUUCCCAGCAGAAGCCCCUGGUACUCGUCUGUAGGAGCUGCAACCAUAAUUUUCCUUCAUACCUUCCCUCCCCAGCCCAGUUCCUACAGCUCUGCACCCCACCCUAGAACUCAGAUGGAGGGAAUAUGGAAGUCCUCCUACACUGUAGGUGAGUGUGGUGGAUUGCUCAUCACUGGGACAGAGGACUCUGGAAGCAAAGGAUGUGGGCAUUCCAGUUGGAAUUUGGAAUAAACUUUCCCAUGGAAACAGUGAUGCAGACAGUAUAAGGGUCUCCUGUAA
rnacentral:lncRNA from 1 species